GGUGGUUGUAGCUCAGUUGGUUAGAGUAUCGGUUUGUGGAUCCGAGGGUCGUGGGUUCGAAUCCCACCUAUCACCC
rnacentral:tRNA from 1 species